rnacentral:rRNA from 1 species
CGUCUAGGCGGAUGCGUCAGUCGGGUAUGAAAUCCUUCGGCUCAACCAGGGAACGGUGCCCGAUACUGCGUGUCUUGAGUGCAGCAGAGGAGAGUGGAAUUCCUGGUGGAGCGGUGAAAUGCGUAGAUAUCAGGAGGAACGCCGGAGGCGAAAGCGAUUCUCUGGGCUGUCACUGACGCUGAAGCGCGAAAGCUAGGGGAGCAAACGGGAUUAGAUACCCCGGUAGUCCUAGCUGUAAACGAUGGGCACUAGGGUAGGGGGAGUUCCGACGCUUUCUCUGCCGUAGCUAACGCAUUAAGUGCCCCGCCUGGGGAGUACGGUCGCAAGGCUAAA